CAAUACCUACGGGGGGCAGCAGUGGGGAAUAUUGCACAAUGGGGGAAACCCUGAAGCAGCGACGCCGCGUGAGCGAAGAAGUAUUUCGGUAUGUAAAGCUCUAUCAGCAGGGAAGAAGAAUGACGGUACCUGAGUAAGAAGCACCGGCUAAAUACGUGCCAGCAGCCGCGGUAAUACGUAUGGUGCAAGCGUUAUCCGGAUUUACUGGGUGUAAAGGGAGCGCAGGCGGUGCGGCAAGGCUGAUGUGAAAG
rnacentral:rRNA from 1 species